rnacentral:lncRNA from 1 species
UAUCCCGUAAUAAUGCCAAACCUUCAGUGGUAAACGUAUUAUUCUCGACUGAAGGGCUGAAGCUGACAAACUUCUGUUCUUAGAACCUACCAGUGAGGGGAGGGUUUGAUCUCUACAGAUACGGUUUCUGCCAGUGGUGCUGUGAUGGUGACUUUGGUUCAGCCAAAUUUAUGGACAUUUAUUUCUGGGACGCCGGAGUUCUGUCCGUGGUUUAUCAAUGGGUUCCGUUUAUUUCGGAUCCC